UGACACAAAAUGAUAAGAAAAUAGAGUAAAAUAAUGAGAUAAUUAGGCACUUACUUUAGCAAGGUAAAGGGGCAACAAUGAUAAUCUUUUUGGGCAACAAUGGAGGCCAAUUUUCGAGUGGUUCGAGAGACUAUUUCAAGGCUGGAAAAAUAGUGAAAGAAAAGAAAAAAAUAGAGGAAGAAAAACAUCCAAAACCAACACCAAUUAAGGAGGGAAGGACGACAAGGAAAAAAAAGCUUUGGGAUCACAAUGAAGGGAAACGGGAAAAAAAUUGAAGAAGAAGAAGAAAGGAGAAAGAGAAGAAG
rnacentral:lncRNA from 1 species